rnacentral:rRNA from 1 species
CAGCAGCCGCGGUAAUACGUAGGGGGCAAGCGUUAUCCGGAUUCAUUGGGCGUAAAGCGCUCGUAGGCGGCUUGUUAGGUCGGGAGUUAAAUCCCGGGGCUCAACCCCGGCACGCUCCCGAUACCGGCAGGCUUGAGUUUGGUAGGGGAAAGUGGAAUUCCAAGUGUAGCGGUGGAAUGCGCAGAUAUUUGGAAGAACACCAGUGGCGAAGGCGGCUUUCUGGGCCAUAACUGACGCUGAGGAGCGAAAGCUAGGGGAGCAAACAGGAUUAGAUACCCUGGUAGUCCUAGCCGUAAACGAUGGACACUAGGUGUGGGGGAAAAUUUCUUCCGUGCCGCAGCUAACGCAUUAAGUGUCCCGCCUGGGGAGUACGGCCGCAAGGCUAAAACUCAAAGGAAUUGACGGGGGCCCGCACAAGCAGCGGAGCAUGUGGCUUAAUUCGAUGCAACGCGAAGAACCUUACCAGGGCUUGACAUGUAGGUGAAGCGGCGGAAACGUCGUGGCCGAAAGGAGCCUAUGCAGGUGGUGCAUGGCC